GCCUCGGUAGCUCAGUGGUAGAGCGGCACCCUCGUAAGGUGUAGGCCGCGGGUUCGAAUCCCGUUCGAGGCUCCA
rnacentral:tRNA from 1 species